CACCAGGUGGCCCUGCUGCAGCUAAUGGAGACACCAGAACUGAGGGACCAGGACACUGUACAGACAUACCAGCUGAAGAUGAAGGUAAUUAAAACCAUGGAGGCGAUCAGCGAGGUUCUCCAGGACCUCAGGUUUGAUGCGGAAUCUGCCGAGUGAUGGCGGCUCCCCAGGGAUGCGCCGAGGACGAUGGGAGAUGGGGUGGAUGGCGCCUAGCCCAGCCCUGACCGCCAGCUGGCCGGGGCUGUGCCCUGCUGGGCUGCUGACCUUCCUCCCAGGCAAGGCACCUCCUGCAAUAAAGAACUCUUCCUCUG